UGGGGAAUAUUGCACAAUGGACGAAAGUCUGAUGCAGCAACGCCGCGUGGAGGAUGACACAUUUCGGUGCGUAAACUCCUUUUAUAUAGGAAGAUAAUGACGGUACUAUAUGAAUAAGCACCGGCUAACUCCGUGCCAGCAGCCGCGGUAAUACGGAGGGUGCAAGCGUUACUCGGAAUCACUGGGCGUAAAGAGCGUGUAGGCGGAUAAGUAAGUCAGAAGUGAAAUCCAAUAGCUCAACUAUUGAACUGCUUUUGAAACUGCUUGUCUAGAAUAUGGGAGAGGUAGAUGGAAUUUCUGGUGUAGGGGUAAAAUCCGUAGAGAUCAGAAGGAAUACCGAUUGCGAAGGCGAUCUACUGGAACAUUAUUGACGCUGAGACGCGAAAGCGUGGGGAGCAAACA
rnacentral:rRNA from 1 species